GGAAGGGGGGGGGGGGGGGGCGCUUAUUGAGAUUGGCGAAGGGGGAGUUGAGCAUUGCAUCGUACCUAACUAGACGCAUCGAGUAGCUUGAGCUUCUUGUUCUUUCGAGCAUGUUUUUACCGUUAAUUAAGCAAUUUUCUUAACGAUUCCCCCGUCUAAAUCCCCUCGCAGCGUCAAUGGUGUGUGUGUGCAGCUUAGAUUUUCGAUCCCAUCAGGAUUGCCCCCAUUUUGUUGCUCGAGGAUGGCGCAGCGGGUUUUUUGGUGGGCAAAUUCACAUCCUAUCUCGUCCCUAUCUCAUUGUGUAGAACAUGGGGUGGUGGUGGGGGAGAGGCCCUCUAUGUUUUCUCUGGGGUUUGUCCGGGUUUUGCAAGGUGCAAAUCAUGUGCCAAUUUGUUGUCAAUUUGUUUGGAAUGUGUGUCGCCUAGUCCUGGGUGUUGGGUUUUCAUGUGGCUUCUCUUCAUAUUUUCGCCUUCCCCCAACAUGUGCAAGUUUCAGGCAAGUUUUUUUUAGUCCAACACGAGCUAACUCAGUUCAUAUUUUGUAGAUUUGUUAGGGUUUACAGGGGGUUGUAGGUGGUACAGAGUCUACACAUGGGUGUAGAUGUUAUAGAGCUUAUGUCAGGCGUCUAGAUUUGCUAGGGUCUGCAUUUUUCAAAUGUUGCCCAAACCUAGUUAUUGUUUCCUAGUUCAGAUUUUUUGCAUCCUAAAAACAAUUCAAUGAUGAGCUAACACAGUUCAUAUUGGAGAUGAUACAGUCAAUCUAAUGUGUGUGUUAGCAGGGUGUUUUGUUUCUGCAUUUUUGUAAGUUUUGCUUUAUGGGAUAUGGUCUAUAAGGGCUCUUUUUUUUGUUGUUUGGUCAUGUGUGUGUGUUCUCCGCAGCUGACAUCGUGCCCUGCAGCUUAUAUCAUGCAUUCAAACGAGGACAAAGUAGACAAAUCUGCAGUUUUAAUUCCUCGAUGAAGUAGACGAAAAUCACUUGGGUGGCAAGGUCUGCCAGCUGAAAAUGCAGGAGCAGCUAUCCAAGGGGCUAAGAAUGUGUUUUCUAUGCCUUUUUUUACAAGUGCCCGGGAACACCACGGUGCAGUGUAGGCGCCCCAGGGGCACAGGGCAAGAGUUUGCUUUGUAAGCUAUUUCUCUAUUCCCAUGUGAGCAAGUUCUAGCCAAUGUGCUAGCUCCACGUGAGCAAGUUCCAGCAAAGGCGUCCGCUCCAUGCGAGCAAGUCCUGCCAAAGGCGGCAGGCCCAUGCGAACAAGUUCAAGCCAAGGCACCAGCUCCUCUUCAGCACGUUCUAGCAAAGGCGCCAGCUGCGUGCGAGCAGUUAAAGCCAAGGCACCAGCUCCCUGUGAACAAGUUCGAGCAAAGGUGCAACCUGCGUGCGAGCAAGUUUUAGCCAAGGAGUAAGUUGCAUGCGAGCAAGUUCGGGCAAAGAUGCGAAGGUGCCAAAUUCAGCAGGCAACAAAAUCCUGUGUCAAAUGUGUGCUGGCAACGGAUGAAACUACUGCUUGUUUAGUUCAUAGUUUGCUUUCAAUGGGUUGCUGAAAACUAAAAAAUCUAGCAGUAGUGCACAAUUUUUUGGGGAUUCAGCAUGUGUAUGCUCGCAGCUAUUUUUUCUGGACGAAACUACAUUACUUCUUGUAUGCAUCAGAACUACUGCUUGUUUAGUUUUCGUAGUUGACAGGUUCAGAGUUUGCUUUUCAAUUUGUUGCGGGGGACCAAAAGCCUAAAAAUGAUCUGUACAUGUGCUCUUACCUUUGUGAAGUUAUAUCUUACAUAAUAGGUUCGGAGUUGCUUUUUGGUA